rnacentral:miRNA from 1 species
GUGGAUAUUCCGUCUAUGUUU